UCGGGGGUUCGGGUACUGACGCGUCAUUAUGAGAGAACGCAGAGAGAACAUCUUUGCAUGUGUUAGUACACACGCAAUAUCCCAGCAAACAAUGUACUAUGGUCCGAACGACCGUUUUUGUUGGCCAAAAUUAAUAACUCCCGACGGAACAAGAUUUUUUUAUUUAGUUUUUUGUAUUGGAUAUAUAUAAUCAAAAGGAAGUGGCUUUAAGAAAAAAAAAUGGGUGUGGCGCCGCCCUUUUUUUAAUAAUGCAUAUUUAAAUGAUUAGUUAUAGUGAAAAAAAAAAGUAUUAAGCAUAAUUUAUUUAAGAAAGCGGCGUUGCACGCUUAAAAAAAUUUCGAUUUAAAUAAAAAUAACAUUGCUUAAAGGUUUCCGUAAAUUAUUACUGAGAUCCUUGUCUAGAAGCUAGGUUAACGCCUCGUUAGGUGAGAUAUGUGCCGGCUUUCCGACUGGGUCCUGUACAGCCUUAUGAACUUAGUUAGCAUUCUUUGGGCAUAAAGAUAAAAGUGUUGAAAUAAAGGCUUGUGGCCAACCCACAUAUUUUCGUACAAACAUUGAAUUUGACCGGCAUUUGUUCCGUUAUGUUGCCAAACGAUAACAAAUUUUCUUGCUGGUAUCCUCAAAAGCUUUAUUCAUUUCAUAUAAUAUGUCGCCUUAAGAGCCGUUUUUAAAUAAUUGAUAAUUUUACCCUUAUCUGAAUUCCAUACGCAAAUUUCAAUAAUUGUGGUGAAAAGUGGCAUUUCUUACUAUAUACAUAUCAACAAGAAUUUAUUAAUCUACGACACACAAAAGGUUUCAGGGUGGGACUAGGUAGGACUCACUUUGUACACCUUUUCAAAAAUUAGUUUUCAUUACAAGUUGGAACAUGUUGAAGGCCUCAAUUACGAAGACUACUACUAGAUACAGUUAAAAACUCAAGACACGUAAUAAGAACCCGACUGAUUAAGAUUCAUUAAACAAAUGUAAUCAGGUCUUGGCGUUUUUCAAUUUUGGAGAGAUCUAAAAUGGUUAUUAAUAUGGCGUUUUUUUACUUCACGUGCUUUACGAUAAUUACAGUUGGGUUGCUCAGCUGAUUUUGCGAAUGUGGCGCCAUCUAUGGAAAUUUCUGCGUAUCCCUGCAGUACGAUGACAUCGAUGACUCAGCUGCUGACACGUCGAUGAACGCAUCACUACCCGCGAUGACAUAGUUGAUGACCGGCCAUACGCUGAGCUGUUUACUUUAACAUGGAGAUGACCUAGGGCAUAAUCGAUGACAUUGUCAUCGAGCAUUGCCGAAAAAUCAUGCACUUAAUAAGUGAUGAUUUUUCACGAAAAAUCAUGCAUUUAAUAUAAAAAAGUAAUACAUUCAAUUGUUUUUUUUUCAAUAAGUUUUAUUUUUUAAAAAUUAUUAUUAAUUAUUGUUUAAGCAUGCCAGAGCUUUGUAUUUUUUGUCCCUUGCGCCCUUUUGAAAGUAGCUAUUCUUAAUAUUGUGAAUAGCCUUCCUAAUCACUUUAUCUGCUGGGUAUUUUUAUCUUCACCGCCGCUGAAAUAAUAUGGAUAUGUUAAUUAAUUAAUUAUAUUUUUUCUUUUUACAUUUUUUUUUAAACCUACAUUAUAUUUCUUUAUUCUUCUUUUAUUCCCGAGCAUAAGAGAAGAAUAAAGAAAUAUAAUGUGAAUGCCGCGAAACAUUAAUAUAAUUUGAACACAGUUUUUUUUACUACUAAUUUUAAAAGAUUACAAUCAGCACA